UCAGCGGUGCCUCCCAUACCCUCGCUCUAACACCACAGUGUGGUUUGGACGUGGCCACAGUGCCGUACAAACCACAGUGUGCUGCUGGGGCGGGGGCAGGACUAGGGUGUGUCGAGAGGAAGACA
ensembl:miRNA Mir497b microRNA 497b